GAUGAACGCUAGCGGCAGGCCUAACACAUGCAAGUCGAGGGAGAAGCCGUUUCGGGGGCAGAAACCGGCGCACGGGUGCGUAACGCGUAUGCAACCUACCUUUCACAGGGGGAUAGCCCGAAGAAAUUUGGAUUAAUACCCCAUAAUAUUAUUGGAUGGCAUCAUUUGAUAAUUAAAACUGCGGUGGUGAAAGAUGGGCAUGCGUCCUAUUAGCUAGUUGGAGUGGUAACGGCACCCCAAGGCUACGAUAGGUAGGGGUCCUGAGAGGGAGAUCCCCCACACUGGUACUGAGGCCGGGACCAGACUCCUACGGGAGGCAGCAGUGAGGUAUAUUGAUCAAUGGUCGGAAGACUGAACCAGCCAUGCCGCGUGCAGGAAGAAUGCCUUAUGGGUUGUAAGCUGCUUUUAUAUGGGAAGAAUAAGGCGUACGUGUACGUUGAUGACGGUACCAUAUGAAUAAGCAUCGGCUAACUCCGUG
rnacentral:rRNA from 1 species